GACGAACGCUGGCGGCGGGCUUAACACAUGCAAGUCGAAGGGAAAGGCCAUCCAUUGUUGGGUUUUCCUGGGGGCAAACGGGUGCGAAGCAGAGGAAUACCUAUCCCUCCUGUUUGGGACAUCUUAAGAAACUUGCGGCAAUAACCGAAAUGCACCUCCAUCUCCUUGGGGGGGUUCGGAAAGUGCUGGCUGUUGGGGAGGGACUGGCGGGUAAUCAGUUUGUUGGGGGGGUAGUGGCUUACCAGGCCUUCGAAGGGUAGGCGGCGUGAGAGGUGUACCGGCCACAUGGGGACUGAGAUACGGGCCAGAGUAGUACGGGAGACAGCAGUAGGGAAUAUUGCACAAUGGGGGGAAGUCGGAUGCAGCAACGCCGCGUGCGGGAUGAUGGCCUGCUGGUUGUAAACCGCUUUCGCCUGUGACGAAGCGUGUGUGACGGUAAUGUGUGAAGAAGCACCGGCUAACUACGUG
rnacentral:rRNA from 1 species